rnacentral:rRNA from 1 species
UAAGGAAUAUUGCUCAAUGGGAGAAAUCCUGAAGCAGCAACGCCGCGUGGAGGAUGAAGGGUCUAUGACUUGUAAACUCCUGUAAAGAAGGAAAAAAUUCCCAUUAGAUGGGAGAUGAUGGUACUUCUGGAGUAAGCCCCGGCUAACUACGUGCCAGCAGCCGCGGUAAUACGUAGGGGGCAAGCGUUGUCCGGAUUUACUGGGUGUAAAGGGUGCUCAGGCGGAUUUGUAUGUCAGAGGUGAAAUCUUACAGCUUAACUGUGAAACUGCCUUUGAUACUGCAAGCCUAGAGUAUGGAAGAGAGUGAUGGAAUAUCUGGUGUAGCAGUGAAAUGCGUAGAUAUCAGAUAGAACACCAAUGGCGAAGGCAGUCACUUGGUCCAUUACUGACGCUAAAGCACGAAAGCGUGGGUAGCAAACA